rnacentral:lncRNA from 1 species
UGCUUCUCAAAAGAGAGUAUUUUCUUUUCUUAUCCGCUCUUUCUUUCUUAAAAAUAUUGAUUUUAAUAAUUAUGGUUUAAUAUAUUUAGGUGAUAAAAUAAGAAACUAACAACGAAGUACUCUGAUGUAAUUAUGUGAUAAAUUAUUGGUUUUUUCUUCAAAUUAAGAAUUAUGAUUCGUUAAUUAGAUGGGGUUUUAUAAUAUUGACGCUUGAAUUUUUAAGUAUAAACUUUUGUGGUUCAAAUAAUAUUGAAUUUAUCAAUUGCAUGUUAAAUUGCAUUUGUUUUCUUUUUUCUUUUUGCACUGCAUGUGAAUUCGUUCUUUAUGAUCUCAAACUAUCAGUUUUACUUUGAUAUGUAAUGUGAUUUUAAGGAAUUUUGAGAAUUAGUUGAAUUUGGUUCUUAAAUUUUGAAGGUUGAAAUCUUAUUUGCAAUGACUAAUUUCAUAUUUUUACAUUAAAUCUUUGUUAAUAACACAUGUUAAUGGCAUUAAGAGACCCUAAUAGGAGACAAAACUUCAAUGGAAUUGUUGAAAACAGCAAAUUACCAUAUUACUCUCUAUUGUUCUAUCUCACACCCUUAUUCUAGAUAUUCUUAUAUUGCCAUUUUUGCCCUCUAUCAUUCUAUAUUGCAUCCCCUCCCUGUAAUAUGUAAUACAAUGGUUUGUCUACUUUCUUAACUUUAAAGGCUCAUUUAGAAAAAGGAUGCAUAAGAUGAAAACCGGUUAUCUUCAUGUUGCAGGGUCAAAAAUCAAGGUAAUGGACACACUUUGAAGUGAAAUAUGGAGUUUGGCACACACAAAGUUAUGGACACUCCAAAACUGAAAAAAAAAAUCAACUAAACUCAAGUACCAUUUUUUAAUAUACUCAAAAUUCCCUAAUCUAUAUGCCCGAUUCUUGAAUUUGGGUUUCAUGUCGGCAUCCUCUCCAUCAUGUUCACCAGGACCAGGUUAUAGCUCCCUCACUCUUGGAUUCUAAAAAUAAGAUUCAAAAAUAUCUCACCACUGAAUCUCUCAGCAGAUUUGUGUGUGAUCUGAUCUGUAUGAAUGUAUGAAAUAUAAAGGAUUUUCUUGGUUGGUUGGUCAGCUGGUGAGAGACCAAGGGAGUACUGAAUUUGAAUAGUUCCACAAUGUACCACCACGAACUGGAUCUUCUUAGAACUGUUUCGCAAAACAUCCAAAUACUUGUAUGUGACAUAGGUGUCG